rnacentral:rRNA from 1 species
AACGAACGCUGGCGGCAGGCUUAACACAUGCAAGUCGAGCGCCCCGCAAGGGGAGCGGCAGACGGGUGAGUAACGCGUGGGAACGUGCCCUUUGGUUCGGAACAACUCCGGGAAACUGGAGCUAAUACCGGAUAAGCCCUUCGGGGGAAAGAUUUAUCGCCAAAGGAUCGGCCCGCGUCUGAUUAGCUAGUUGGUGAGGUAAUGGCUCACCAAGGCGACGAUCAGUAGCUGGUCUGAGAGGAUGAUCAGCCACACUGGGACUGAGACACGGCCCAGACUCCUACGGGAGGCAGCAGUGGGGAAUAUUGGACAAUGGGCGCAAGCCUGAUCCAGCCAUGCCGCGUGAGUGAUGAAGGCCUUAGGGUUGUAAAGCUCUUUUGUCCGGGAAGAUAAUGACUGUACCGGAAGAAUAAGCCCCGGCUAACUUCGUGCCAGCCGCCGCGGUAAAAC